rnacentral:rRNA from 1 species
UACAGGGGGGGCAAGCGUUGUUCGGAAUUACUGGGCGUAAAGGGCUCGUAGGUGGCCAACUAAGUCGGACGUGAAAUCCCUCAGCUUAACUGGAGAACUGCGUCCGAUACUGGAUGGCUUGAGUUUGGGAGAGGGAUGCGGAAUUCCAGGUGUAGCGGUGAAAUGCGUAGAUAUCUGGAGGAACACCGGUGGCGAAGGCGGCAUCCUGGACCAACACUGACACUGAGGAGCGAAAGCCAGGGGAGCAAACGGG